rnacentral:snRNA from 2 species
GUGCUUGCUUCAGCAGCAGGCAGCACGUAUACUAAAAUUGGAACCAUACAGAGAAGAUUAGCAUGGCCCCUCCACAAGGAUGACACUCAAAUUCAUGAAGUGUUCUGUAUUUUA